GAUGAACGCUGGCGGCGUGCCUAACACAUGCAAGUCGAGCGGGGUUAUAUUUUUUGAAGCUUUCGGGUUGAAGGAGAUAUAACUUAGCGGCGGACGGGUGAGUAACACGUGGAUAAUCUGGCCUUUACAGCGGGACAACAGUUGGAAACGGCUGCUAAUACCGCAUACACUUCUAAUGUGGCAUCAUGAUAGGAGAAAAGAUUUAUCGGUAAAGGAUGAGUCCGCGUCUGAUUAGCUAGUUGGUGGGGUAAGGGCCUACCAAGGCGAUGAUCAGUAGCCGACCUGAGAGGGUGAUCGGCCACAUUGGGACUGAGACACGGCCCAAACUCCUACGGGAGGCAGCAGUGGGGAAUAUUGCACAAUGGGGGGAACCCUGAUGCAGCAACGCCGCGUGAAGGAAGAAGGCUUUCGGGUCGUAAACUUCUUUAGGCUGGGAAGAAUAAUGACGGUACCAGCAGAAUAAGCCCCGGCUAACUACGUGCCAGCAGCCGCGGUGAUACGUAGGGGGCAAGCGUUAUCCGGAAUUACUGGGUGUAAAGGGUGAGUAGGCGGUUGUUUAAGUCACAUGUGAAAGCCCGGGGCUCAACCUCGGGACUGCAUGAGAAACUGGGCAACUAGAGUACAGGAGAGGUAAGCGGAAUUCCUAGUGUAGCGGUGAAAUGCGUAGAUAUUAGGAGGAACACCAGUGGCGAAGGCGGCUUACUGGACUGUAACUGACGCUGAGUCACGAAAGCGUGG
rnacentral:rRNA from 1 species